UACGGAGGGUGCAAGCGUUAUCCGGAUUCACUGGGUUUAAAGGGUGCGUAGGUGGGUCUGUAAGUCAGUGGUGAAGUCCCCGAGCUUAACUUGGGAACUGCCAUUGAUACUAUAGAUCUUGAAUACUGUGGAGGUCAGCGGAAUAUGUCAUGUAGCGGUGAAAUGCUUAGAUAUGACAUAGAACACCAAUUGCGAAGGCAGCUGGCUACACAAAUAUUGACACUGAUGCACGAAAGCGUGGGGAUCAAACAGG
rnacentral:rRNA from 1 species